UCCGGUCUGUUUGGUGCCCUGGUCGCGUGUCUUCCGAACUCUGCUGCUUCGCCCCGGCAAGAGCACUUCCUUCCGCGGCUGCUAAAACUGGUGCGCGGGUUCCCAACUUCGCAGAAGAGCUUCAUCGGCCCCCCGCUAGAGACCUCAGACCGCAGCCAUCGACGCCUCGCCUCGGGGAUCUGUCCCCACCCUCGGGGCCAGGUCAGGGACCAGAGACCUGCGAAGCCCUCUCCUUAGGGGUUUAGUUCCCAGGCUUUCUGACCCCAGUAAUUCCAAACGCUUCCCUUUGUUUCCACAGCCCUAGCGUAGCAGGUGCUCCCUGCAGUUUUUGCUUCUGAGAUAGAGUUCUCUUUUCAGCUCCUUCGGUAGUCACUUCGUACAUAGUGAUUCAUGAUGCGAAAUCCUCUCUGUUGAAAUAACUGACGAGGCCUCUGUCUUCUGACUGGACCCUGACUUCCAUGCCCUUUCCACUCUCACUCCAGUACAUGCCCAAACCCCAAUCUUUGUUGCUCCAGGCAUUGCCUCUGUGGCGCUGUGUCCCCUCCUUUGAACUCUGAUCCUUCUGCUCAGGCCCUUUCUCCCAGUCUGAACUCACCAUGAGUCAGGCCCUGUGCUAGGUGCUGGGAUGAAGCAGUGACUGACACAGGCCUGGACCUGUCCUUGGGAAGAGUGCGUCUGUGACACAGAUACUGUGCCAUGUGGCAAAACUUGAAUGGAGACAUCAGCUCUUUGUGGGUCUCAAGUCUACUGGCUUUCAAUCAGCUCUUCUGCUUGACAGCUGCAGGUCUUGGGACUGCCCAGCCCCCAUAACCCUGUGAGUGCAUUCCUGAUAAUAACCCUCUUUCUCUUGUCCUCCCCCACCCCACAUCAUUGGUUCUGUUUCUCUGGAGAACCAUAAUACAUCAUUUACUAAUCAGGAAAUAGAUUCAGAGACAUUAAUAACUCAUCCAACCUCACAGUUAACUGUAGAGUUGGGCUUGAAAUUCCAAGGUCGAUUUUCUUAGCCAAUACACCAUGCUACAUAUAUGUAUGUAAAAAUAAAAACGCUUGUGAACUGAAAAGGGUC
rnacentral:lncRNA from 1 species